rnacentral:tRNA from 1 species
GACCGCGUAGCUCAGUUGGCAGAGCGUUGGGCUAGUUUUCCAAAGGUCGUAGGUUCGAUUCCCACCGUGGCCA